CACCCGGUGGAGCAUGUGGUUUAUUUUUUUGCACCACGAAAAACCUUACCUGGUCUUGACUUCUGCUGAAGUUUUCAUAGAUGAGAAUGUGCCUUCGGGAACCGUGAAACAGGUGCUGCGUGGCUGUCGUCAUCUCGUGUUGUGAAAUGUUGGGUUAAGUCCCGCAACGAGCGCAACCCUUAUCCUUUUUUUCCUUUGUUCCCGCCGGGAACUCAAAGGACACUGCCAGUGAUAAACUGGAGGAAGGUGGGGAUGACGUAAAAUCAUCAUGCCCCUUCCUACCCGGGCUACACACGUGCUACAAUGGCGCAUACAAGGAGAAGCGACCUCGCAAGAGCAAGCGGACCUCAUAAAGUGCGUCCUAGUCCGGAUUGGAGUCUGCAACUCAACUCCCUGAUGUCGGAAUCGCUAUUACACUCGCAUCAGAUCGCCACGGUGAAUUCGUUCGUGGGCCUUGUCCCCACC
rnacentral:rRNA from 1 species